UACGGAGGGUGCAAGCGUUAUCCGGAUUCACUGGGUUUAAAGGGUGCGUAGGCGGGCAGAUAAGUCAGUGGUGAAAUCUCUGGGCUUAACCCAGAAACUGCCGUUGAUACUAUUUGUCUUGAAUAUCAUGGAGGUAAGCGGAAUAUGUCAUGUAGCGGUGAAAUGCUUAGAUAUGACAUAGAACACCGAUAGCGAAGGCAGCUUACUACAUGUUUAUUGACGCUGAGGCACGAAAGCGUGGGGAGCAAACAGGAUUAGAUACCCUGGUAGUCCACGCCCUAAACGAUGGAUACUCGACAUCAGCGAUACACUGUUGGUGUCUGAGCGAAAGCAUUAAGUAUCCCACCUGGGAAGUACGACCGCAAGGUUGAA
rnacentral:rRNA from 1 species